CACCAAUCACGCCUGGCGUGGUAUUGGGCGACGGGGCGAGUCACAUCGCCCCGCGCCUCAAUGAUCUUUCCGGCGGGACGGACCGUAUCUCAGCGUUGUGCAAACGAGUCGCUGGCGAUGUGCGGGACGGACGUGCCGUUAAACCCCCCAUUUUCUCAU
rnacentral:misc_RNA from 1 species